rnacentral:rRNA from 1 species
CCUACGGGGGGCUGCAGUGGGGAAUAUUGGACAAUGGGCGAAAGCCUGAUCCAGCCAUGCCGCGUGUGUGAAGAAGGCCUUCGGGUUGUAAAGCACUUUCAGUGGGGAAGAAAGCCUUGGGGCUAAUACCCUCGAGGAAGGACAUCACCCACAGAAGAAGCACCGGCUAACUCCGUGCCAGCAGCCGCGGUAAUACGGAGGGUGCGAGCGUUAAUCGGAAUUACUGGGCGUAAAGCGCGCGUAGGCGGUCUGAUAAGCCGGUUGUGAAAGCCCCGGGCUCAACCUGGGAACGGCAUCCGGAACUGUCAGGCUAGAGUGCAGGAGAGGAAGGUAGAAUUCCAGGUGUAGCGGUGAAAUGCGUAGAGAUCGGGAGGAAUACCAGUGGCGAAGGCGGCCUUCUGGACUGACACUGACGCUGAGGUGCGAAAGCGUGGGUAGCAAACAGGAUUAGAUACCCUAGUAGUC